rnacentral:rRNA from 1 species
CGUAGAGAAAUCGAGUCUUAAUAGGGCGUUUAGUUGCUGGGUAUAGACCCGAAACCAGGCGAUCUAUCCAUGAGCAGGUUGAAGGUUGGGUAACACUAACUGGAGGACCGAACCCACUGUCGUUGAAAAGCCAGGGGAUGACUUGUGGAUAGGGGUGAAAGGCUAAUCAAGCCUGGUGAUAGCUGGUUCUCCCCGAAAGCUAUUUAGGUAGCGCCUCGGACGAAUACCAUAGGGGGUAGAGCACUGUUUCGGCUAGGGGGUCAUCCCGACUUACCAAACCGAUGCAAACUCCGAAUACCUAUGAGUACUAUCCGGGAGACAGACUGCGGGUGCUAACGUCCGUAGUCAAGAGGAAAACAAUCCAGACCGCCAGCUAAGGCCCCAAAAUCAUAGUUAAGUGGGAAACGAUGUGGGAAGGCAUAGACAGCUAGGAGGUUGGCUUAGAAGCAGCCACCCUUUAAAGAAAGCGUAAUAGCUCACUAGUCGAGUCGGCCUGCGCGGAAGAUGUAACGGGGCUAAAACUAUGUGCCGAAGCUGCGGAUGUAUACUUUGUAUACGUGGUAGGGGAGCGUUCUGUAAGCCGAUGAAGGUGUGUUGAGAAGCAUGCUGGAGGUAUCAGAAGUGCGAAUGCUGACGUGAGUAACGACAAAACGGGUGAAAAACCCGUUCGCCGAAAGACCAAGGGUUCCAGUCCAACGUUAAUCGGGGCUGGGUGAGUCGACCCCUAAGGCGAGGCCGAAAGGCGUAGUCGAUGGGAAAAUGGUUAAUAUUCCAUUACUUCUGUGUAAUGCGAUGAGAGGACGGAGAAGGCUAAAUCAGCCUGGCGUUGGUUGUCCAGGUGAAAGGAUGUAGGCAUGUAUCUUAGGCAAAUCCGGGGUACUCUAUGCUGAGAUCUGAUAGCAAGCUGUACUUGUACAGCGAAGUGGUUGAUGCCAUGCUUCCAGGAAAAGUCUCUAAGCUUCAGUUACACAGGAAUCGUACCCGAAACCGACACAGGUGGUCAGGUCGAGUAGACCAAGGCGCUUGAGAGAACUCUGCUGAAGGAACUAGGCAAAAUGGUACCGUAACUUCGGGAGAAGGUACGCUGUUGUUGGUGAUGGAACUCGCUUCCUGAGCUGACGACAGCCGCAGAAACCAGGCCGCUGCAACUGUUUAUUAAAAACAUAGCACUCUGCAAACACGAAAGUGGACGUAUAGGGUGUGAUGCCUGCCCGGUGCUGGAAGGUUAAUUGAUGGGGUUAGCGUAAGCGAAGCUCUUGAUCGAAGCCCCAGUAAACGGCGGCCGUAACUAUAACGGUCCUAAGGUAGCGAAAUUCCUUGUCGGGUAAGUUCCGACCUGCACGAAUGGCAUAAUGAUGGCGGCGCUGUCUCCAGCAGAGGCUCAGUGAAAUCGAAAUCGCUGUGAAGAUGCAGUGUACCCGCGGCUAGACGGAAAGACCCCGUGAACCUUUACUGCAGCUUGACACUGAACUUUGACCUUACUUGUGUAGGAUAGGUGGGAGGCUUUGAAGCUGGAACGCUAGUUCCAGUGGAGCCGUCCUUGAAAUACCACCCUGGUAAUGUUGAGGUUCUAACUCUGUCCCGUGAUCCGGGACGAGGACCGUGUCUGGUGGGUAGUUUGACUGGGGCGGUCUCCUCCUAAAGAGUAACGGAGGAGUACGAAGGUGCGCUCAGCGUGGUCGGAAAUCACGCGUAGAGUAUAAAGGCAAAAGCGCGCUUAACUGCGAGACCCACAAGUCGAGCAGGUACGAAAGUAGGUCUUAGUGAUCCGGUGGUUCUGUAUGGAAGGGCCAUCGCUCAACGGAUAAAAGGUACUCUGGGGAUAACAGGCUGAUACCGCCCAAGAGUUCAUAUCGACGGCGGUGUUUGGCACCUCGAUGUCGGCUCAUCUCAUCCUGGGGCUGAAGCAGGUCCCAAGGGUAUGGCUGUUCGCCAUUUAAAGAGGUACGCGAGCUGGGUUUAGAACGUCGUGAGACAGUUCGGUCCCUAUCUACCGUGGGCGCUGGAAAUUUGAGAGGAUCUGCUCCUAGUACGAGAGGACCAGAGUGGACGAACCUCUGGUGUACCGGUUGUGACGCCAGUCGCAUCGCCGGGUAGCUAUGUUCGGAAGGGAUAACCGCUGAAAGCAUCUAAGCGGGAAGCCUACCUCAAGAUAAGAUUUCCCUAGGACUUUAUGUCCUCUAAAGAGCCGUUCGAGACUAGGACGUUGAUAGGUUGGAUGUGGAAGCAUAGUGAUAUGUGAAGCUGACCAAUACUAAUUGCUCGUGAGGCUUGACUAU